GGCUCCUUAGCUCAGUUGGUUUAGAGCGUCGUGCUAAUAACGCGAAGGUCGUGGGUUCGAUCCCCACAGGAGCCA